CAUCCGGCCACCCCGGCACACGCCGGAAGUGCCUCGCGACGCGGGGCUGCAACCGCCGCUGGCCGAGGGAGGGCCGGCUCCGGAGGUCCGCGCGCCGGCCACCCUCGCCGCGGGCUGCGCGUUGGGUCCCUGGAGCGGCGGCGCGCCGGCCUACAGAGCGCGCGGGCGGGCACGGUGCGGCCUAGCGCUCCUCGCGGUGGCCUGGCCCGCAUCUCAAGGCCGAAGCCGCCCCGGCAGCUCCCGGCGCUUCGGGUUGUGUGACCUUGGCCAAAACGCUUAGCUUUCCCUGGCUGCCAAAUAAGGUAAUGAUACCUACGCUGGAGGACUGUGUGAGGCUUGGAGAUGACAACUGGAAAGAAAAUAUGAGAGUACCUUCUUAUCUCCUGUUCCCCAAAAGCCACUGUGCCCACAGUACAGGCAAGAGAGCUGAAUUCUAGACCAACAAGUAAAAAUUAUUUUAAAAGGUGACAUUUUUCAAUGUAUUUCACUUAUGAAAUAUUGCAGUUGCUAUUUAAAGGAUGUGUAACGGAACAAAACAUGAUUUAAAUGAAUGAAGAGUUCAGGCUGAAAUGUGUCAGAAGCAGGCAUGUCUAUUAGCUCUGUACUCAUUCUUAAGUCAUCUUAGACGUCCUCCUCUCCCCUGGAAUUCAGAAAGUGGGGGGGAAAGUGUCCUCUCAGCU